GAUGCAUCUUUGACAACAAUAGCCAAACGUGGGGCUAGCACCCGUUUGCUGUGGUCUGGCCAAUGUUUUUCUUCUGUGUCAAAAAUAUUUGUUCCUAUUAACGAGUAUGGUAUUCAUUGGACAUUGCUGGUAAUUGACAAAUCUAAGAAAAUACGAUACUUCAUUGACCCCAUGAAUGGACAAAAGGAAAUAACAAUUGAUUUUCAAACACACCCGCAUCUUAUGGACCUUAUAGACAAGAUAAGUGAAAUUGCUGACAUGAAAACUGGUUGGCAUUCUCAAUUUUGGUCAUGUAUCGAGCCAUUACAUUUCUCACAGCAGGACAGCUUUAAUUGUGGUGUACUCAUUUGCCUUGUAAGUGAGCACUCCCACAGAGAUUUUACAAUCCAUUCUAUUAAUUUAUACAUUGCUCAUUUCU